rnacentral:tRNA from 1 species
GGCAAUGUGGCUUAGUGGUAGAGUGCUUGCCUAGCAUGCAUGAAGCCCUGGGUUUGAUUCCUCAGUGCCA